UGUAGCUACUGCAGGCAGACACUGGUUUCCUCUGCAGGGCUGCACGGUAUGCAAAUCAGUAGCUCUGGGAGAUACAAAUCUCACAGGCUGAAUGGAUUUUCUGUGGGCCAAAGGGCAUUUACAAAUUAAUUGCAAAGCUGCCCUAUGACACUGUUGUGAAGUAGGUUAGCAACUCGCCCAAAGUCACAUUGUUUCUGAAUCCUGGGCUGGAGAAAAGAGUAUCUUCUCUGGAAUCCUUCCCAUCACUCCACACUUGGCGUCUGAUUUCUCCUAACCAGUGAGUCAUACAAAGGGACGUGCUCCCAGAAUGGUUUCAGCCCCAACUGGUAACAGUAGCUGUACUGAAAAGGAUGCAGUCUCUUACCCACCCCCUGACUCCCUCACUGAGCGGGGUGCGGCUGCUCUGAUUGCAUGGAAGUUUCCGUUUCCUCUGGCGUGUGGGUGCCCAGGAGACUGUCUUCAGUUAAAGUUCUGCCUCUUUUAUGAGGUUUCACGCCCAAGGCGUGAGCACAUUGUGUAGGAGAACUGCUGAGUGGCAAAGUGAGUGAUGAGAAUUGUCUCCCUCCCCUGCUAUACAUACCCAAGGCAUCUGUAUUACCUUCCUGUGGCUGCUCUAAGAAGCUAUCACAAACUUGGUGGCUUCAAAUAGGACCAAUUCGUUCUCUCACAAUUCUGUCGGUCCGAAGUCCAAAAUCAGUAUCACUGGGCUGAAAGCAAGAUGUCGGCAGGGCCCGCUCCCUCUGGAGGCUCUAAGGGAGCAUCUGUUCCUUGUCUCUUCCAGCUUCUGGUAACUCAGGGGUUCCUUGGCUUGUGGCUGCACCCUACAUCCCCUGCCUCUGUGGUCACGACAACUUCUCGCCUGUAUCAAAUCCCUUGCUGCCGUUCUUUACAAAGACAUUUAUGAUUGCAUUUAGGACCUGCCCGGAUAAUCCAAGAACAUCUUCCCAUCUUAAGAUUUUUAACUUAAUCACAUCUGCAAAGAUGCUUUUCCAGGAGGUGGAACAAUCAAAUACAAUCAGUUCAUAUUGAGACAACUUCAACUUGACACAAAGAAAUAUUCUAUGUUCUUUCCUCUGGUGGAUUUCCAGUUUCAGAAGUCCUAGACUGCUGGCCCUUACAACUUUACCUGGAUGGGAAUCAUAAAUCUCAAGUCAUUGAUCCUCAAACCAUAUUUCUUGAAUCUACAUAGCUCUUUCUCGCCUCUGAUCAGAACCCUUGCACGUUUGUGGCUGCUCUUACCUCUACCUGGAAGGCUCUUCUUUUGGCAGUCAACUGGAUGCAAUUACAAACUGCAGUUGUUAUAAAGCAAUGGAAAUGAGUAUAGAAAUAGAGCGGUAACAUGUAUGCAGAAACUGGAAGGAUGACAAGGAACGCGGCAUCUGAGAAGGAGGGGAAGGAGCAGGACAUCUCAGAGAAAAGGGAGCCUUGCCUUCCCUGGAAGUGAAAGGAAACCACUGUGGCUGGUGCAUGAAGGGUAAAAGUGAGAGCCACAGCCAGGUCAUGCUGGCUUGUGGGUAAGUGCAUGUUCCUGAAAAGGGUAAGGAUGUUAUUGGAGGAGAAGUGAGAAGCUAAGGACGUUGUUUGAAAGGAAAUGAAAGGGGUAUGCAUCAUUCGUUUCCACUUUAAAAUCUUACUUUGUUUAAGUGGAGAAUAGAUUGGGUUUGGGGAAGAGAAAAAAUGGGAGAAAUCCAGAUGACUGGUUAGUGGUGACCAGAAGUAGGUUGAUGGUUACAGAAAUAGAGGUGGGAAUAUUUAAGAGAUAUUUUGGACACAGAGACCCAGCACUUGAUGAUGGAUUGGAUGUUAACAGUGACUUAGGGGGAAAACUUAAAGAUGGCUUCUAGGUUUCUACAAAGUUGAAUAACAGUAGUCAAAGGAGAUCACUUUGCAGGCCAGGCUGCUGGCUACAGACAUGCUUAGAUGACUGAUCAGGAAUAACAUUGAUUUAAAGAAGGGCUUUGAUCAUAAAAACUGAAGUACAGACAGAGCACAGUGGCAGGCGGGACUCAGAGAAGAGAGAGGCACAGACAGGCAUAAGUCUAGACAGGUCAUGUUCACAGGCUAUUCUUAGUCUGGAGACCUGGUCCCACCACCAUGUUUCAAUACAACACUAGGCACCCAGCAAGGGUGGGAAGCAGCAUCAAGGGAGCGAAAGACGUUGCAGAAUCAAGCAUGGAUGAGAACAAUUACUGGUUGCAUGAUCUCGUGUGAAUUACUUGAAUUACUUAACCUUUUAGAGCCUCCAAUUCCUUAUUUAUAAAAUAGGAUGAAAAUAUUUACCUUGUAUAUUUGUUAUGGAGAUUAAUUUGAGCAAUGUUUACAAAAUACCUUGCAUAUAGUAGAUGCUUAAAAACGUAGUUCUCUUGGCCUCCCCACUGUGUAAAUUAAUUCAUAUCAUUGAGAGAGCUCUCACUCAUUCAGCUACGUGACUAAUCAAAUCCUGACACUAAAGGGCUUGGUUCUCGUCCAGCUUCCUUCAAGCUGUGGAGUGCGGAGUGGGGAGAUAGGAAAAAGAAAGGAGGGAACUAAAUAUUAUGGUAUAUUCUAAAUCAUAUAGUGGAGUCUAAAUCCCAUUUCAUUAUAUACCACAUUACAUGGUGUUAAAUUCUUUAAUUUUUAUAUCUUUGUAGCAACUUUGUGAGAACAGUAUUCUUUGGUUUCUUUUGUAAAUAAGGACUCUUGGGCAGAAUUUGGGAGAUCUGAGCGAGGUUACAGAGCUCCUGCCACAAGAGCCAGGAUUGGAACGUGCUGAGUCUGAAGCUUGCACAUUUCUCACUCUACAUUGUGCAGCCUCUGCAAAGAUCGGCCUUAACACAAGUCAAAUUCCCAAAGGAGGAGACUUGUCAUCUACACAAUAGCUUUUUUUUUUUUUUUUUUUCUUUUCCUGGGGUGGAUAAGAGGGCUCUAUUUGUGGGGAAUAGUUUGGGAGGAUUUACAUCCUCUUUGAAUUUGGAAGGGCUGAAUCAUUCAUUCAUGGAAUUUAGUCAUCCUUCUUUAUUUUAGACAGGAGAGACUUCUGGGCCCCUGAAAAGUUGUUUGACACCCUAAGAUCAUUCAGCUGGUGACAUUUUGGCAUUUUAGCUAUUUCAGUUCAAUAGUCCUUCAGUGUUUCUCUGAUGCCUCAGCCAUUUCCUCCUUUGGCUUUUUUUUUUUUUUUUUUAAAUUUAAUCCAUGAUUCAAUCCUACUAGCAGCAAUGGUGAUUUUUUUUCUCAGUAAUAUGACCAGUAAGAGACACACACACAUGCACGCAUAUCUCCCCUUGGAUAGCUAAUUGUCAUCUAGAUUUUGAUAUGAUCAAAAUAGAACUCUUAAUUUCCCUGCCUCAAAUCUGCCCACCUUCCCCUACGGUCUUCCCUUCUUAAUAAAUGGCAACUCUAGGACAUGAACCUCAGCUAUCUUCAACUUCUGCCUCUCUAUGGAAAUUGACACCCAGAAGUCUGUCAGUCCUGUCUUUGAACUGUUGCAAAGUGGAGGCACUGAAAUCUCUCAGAAACAUCUUUUGCCUGGGCUACUCUGAUAACCUCCUGAAUACUUCUCUCUCUCCUUCCUCCGGAUUUCUUUGUUCCCAUUCUUCUCAGAGGAGCCAGACCUGUCCACUCACAAGGGAAGAGACAAAGUCUGGAUGGUGGUUGCCCACACCCUGCUUGAUCCAAACUCUGAUGACAUCAUCGCUGACUUUUCUCUCACACCCUCUUUGCUCUAGCACACCAACCACUUUAAUACCUCCAACAUGCUAACAAACUGCCAUCUCAGGGCUUUUCUACUUGCUAAUCUUUCUGCAUAGAAUUCUCUUCUCCGAGAUAGACAAAUAGCUUCUUUCUACACCUUGACAUUUCUGCUAAAAUAAUCACCUUGUCACAAAGUCUUUCUUGACCACUCACUAUAAAAUGGCAACCCUAUCCCCGUACUUCAGCUCUCUUUCCUCCAUAGCACUGAUCACAGCUUAAUACUGUAUAAGUUUGCUUAUUGUUUUCCUCACGACACCCUCCAUCUUGCUUUGCAUGUAUGGUCCAUGAGGACAGAGUUUUUUCUCAGAUUUGCUUACCGUUGGAAUCAUGUUUGGCUUGAGCCAGGAAUUCAGUUCAUAUUGGUUGAAUGAAUAAAUUGAUUUUAAUAUUUAUGAUAGAAAUUGUCAUUCUUGUAGAUUGAAUCAAAGUUCUUAAGUAUAUUCAUUUUAACUAUUUUUUUUCUCUGAUUGCUCUUCCACCCCUGACCCCUGGCUUUAUUACAAUUAAUUGUGGCUUUGGUAAGAAAUACUCUCAAUUUUGGGGAAUAGCAAUUUCAACAGUAAAACAUUAGUAUUGAAUGGAUAAUAUGAACAAGUCAUUUCUGGAAAAAUAUUGUGAAAUAAAAUACAUCUCCUUAGAGCACAUUUCCUUGGUGUAGAAUAUUUCCUUAUUCCCAUGCAACACUAGAUUCUGCUGCAUGUAUUUGCUUUAGAAUUUCAUGUUUAUUAUAUUUGGGAAGCCAGAACUGAAUAAAAAUGAAAACCUUUUCUAAUGCUAUCAACAGAUAUGUUAUCAAGAAUUUUUAAUCUAUUUUUAGUAAGUUUAAUGUGUAGUAGACCGUUCUUUUUUUUUCUUCCUGAUUUAAUUCCCAUUGACCAUCAUUUAUGCUGCAAAGAUGAAGCUCUAUACUUCAGCUUGUCUUUCAGACAAACUAAGACUGUUGUAUUGAAUUCCGAAGCAUGUGCACUUGGAAUUGGAAGUCCACUGUCAGUGGAGAGAACCUGUGGUAGCCGUCUCUCACCUCCUCUUCUGUGAUGUGAUACAGCUAAUCCCAGCCAAACUACUUGAAAUGCUUGUUACUGCUGCAAUCUCAAUGAAUUUAGAGUGGUAAUCAAUUAACAGUAAAUAGGUUUCUUUGUCAAUUUGGAAGCAUCCCAAUGAAGGUAAAGAGAAAGUGGAAUAAGGUGAUAAAUAAUUUAUAGCUGGAGAGAAUCCUUAAUUCCUUCAGCCCACUCAUAGGUUCUAAAUUAUUUUUUAGGGGUAACAUGAGACCAAUAACCAGAAACCUGGGACACAAAUUAACUCUGUUUAAGAAAGAGAUUUUUAAACUGAGGGAUGUGCCGGUUUUGCUGCUUACCCCUGGAUUUUAUACAAAUGAUGCAAUUGCAAAAGGGCCACUUGUCUGUGACCCUCCUGAGGUCUCUUUUUGCCAUUUCUCUUGUUAUCUUGAUUUUCCUCUUGAUCUCUCCUCCAGGAUUAUUUUCAGACUUGCUUGCAUCUCAUUUUGUACCAGUAAAGUGCAUGUGUUAGUGCACACACGCACGAUUGCUGUUUUUAUCCUCCUCUGGUAACUCUUUUUCUAUGUCUCUCAGUGUCUCAUAUUGGCUAGGCUUUCCUUUUAUUUGUAUCUUGACAGCUUGGAGGUGGUUAUUAGGACAUUUAGAGCUCUGAGGCUUGGAUGCCCAGCAUGGAUGUAAUUCCCCAUUCGUUACCUGUCUUCCUUCCCCUGCUCUGCCUAGGUAUGGGUAAUAAAGGCCUGUCUUCCCAGGCUCAAUUCCUAGGCCGAAGGGGAAUGGGUAGUAAUGUUUCAGCAGCUCCUUCCUCCCCAGUGACAUCUGGGGAUAGUGAAUUCACAAUGCAGUUUUCCCAUCCUCAUGAUGCACUAAUAAAGUCAGGCUGCUGACAAGGAGGUCUGGCUUCCUGGUGUUCUCCUUAAUCUUCUGCCCCAGUGCCUAAGUCUAGAGGCUAGCCCUAACUGUUGACUAUGGCUCUGGGUCACCCUUUUAGAUCCUGGCAGCCCCUUAACAGGGUUUGCAUCCCACUUUUGGUUAUUUUUGUUUUACAUUGUCCUAUGUGGACUUCCCUUAUCUGGAGCUCUUAUAUACAUCAUAUUGAGAACUGCCCCCACCUUGAACUUCCUCACUCCACCUUUAGAGUUUGACCUCUAUACCAAGUUGAAAAAUGAGAACUCCCUGGUCCAACUGAACUUGGUGAUUUUGUAUUCUAGAAGAGGGACAGCUCUUUCAUUUUUUCUAGAUCUACUCAUUCUAUGCUAGUUUUAGUGAUCUGAGAGCUUUGGGGAUUUGGGAGUGGGAUUAGGUCUCCAUGCUAGUGCAUGUCCAAUAAAAAAAUCAGAAGUAGAAACAGAAGUAGAUUUAUGUGAAGGUAAAGAAUCUCAAGUUUCCAGGUCUUCGUUUGCAUGGGCCCCUUCCGAUGCCCUGGCAGGGGCUUCAGCAAUGUGUUCACAGAGACAUAUGAUUUUGUAAAUUUGCAAAAGUAAGAUAUUUUAACUGCAACCAAUGAUACCCAUUGUGUCAUUUCACUCCAUCUUCCAAUCUGUCUUAUUUCUACUCAUGUCGCAGUGGGCCAGGACGUAUUUUUGAUCUGGCUAAGUAGAAUGUGAGUGAGAUACAUUUAGUUGCAGUUUACUGGCACAGAUUUAUGUGCAUAGCAAUUACUUCUAUGAGUAAGCCAUGGCUAGUAGGCAGCCUUGAAGGUGCAAAGCUCAGAUAUCCCUUCAAGAGAACCUGUUGCCAUACUUCCUCCAGCCUCCGCACCUUCAGCAUCACACCAAAACCGUGCUUUCCCAGGGCUGCCCUAGCCAAUGAGUCUGCACGGUCUGAGUUCUAGAGCCGGCCCAUUUCUGCCCAUUGCAGAAUAAGCUGUCUUUGCCCUGGAGCCUCAACUUUCUCAGAGCUGACCUGCAGCCAGUUCUCCUCCAUUCUGUCUUUCUUUCUGCAGGUGUCAGGUCCUCCUCACAUUCGAAGGGUUCUAUCUUCUGUCCUUUCUCUUUUUUAUCUUCUGUGGGCAUUCUCCCUCAAGAAAUCUCUUUUACAUCGAAUUUCAACCUGGUGUCCACCUCAGAGGACACGAACUGACACCGUUAAAGAUUUCACAGGGCCUCCUUCAUGCUUCCAUUGGACAGCUGAACGGUUUCCUUUGUGGAUCACCCAAUUCUACUUCAUAGUCUACACAGAACUUGUUCUUCAGAAGAAAUCUCCAGCAGAAGCCCAAUGAAUGACAUUGAUCCAACUGCAUCAGAGACUGUCAACCUCUCUGGGACCCAUUUCUGUGCCCCUCAGGCAGAGUUGAGUGCAUUCCUCUAUCGUCCAACAGAAUAUAAUGCAUUUUAUUGCUGACCUUAUCUUAAUGGAUUAUUGUUACACUAUUUUAUGUAUCUUUUUUUUUUUCAUUAAAUCAUGAGCUUCUCAAGGGUAGGGGCAAUGUCUUACUAAUUUCAGAACAUAUCCCAAUAACUUGGCACAUAAUAAUUGCUCAGUAAGUGGUUGAUGAAUAAAUACGUUUAACCUCCAACUAUCCAACAAUUUAUUUUUACUGAGUGAUUAUAUUAUUAUGUUGUUUAGAAAAGUAUUUAAAUGAAUGUAUGGACAUUAAAGUUUUAUAUCCAAUAAAUAUGUUUGAACGUCUUAUCAUAAGGCAUUUUUGAAUCGGAAGGGGUGUAGAAAUCCCUUAGAUUUCUACAUUUUACAGAUGAGAAACUGAGGCUCAGAGCAACACAUCAAAAAUAGAACAAAGAUGCAUCUCUAGAUCUGAGGUGACAACAAAAGGCUAUGUUCCUUACACUUUUUAAAUCCCUUCCCUAAGAGGUAAUGCCUGGCACAAAUACUGGGGCUACGUACUGAAUAACAUUAUUAUGUCAUAAUGUUAUUGGUUGGAUUCCUUAGGAAGAAGAGUCUGAGAUGGAAUUUAGCUGGCAGGAUGUUUAUUAAGGAGCACCUUCUAGAAGAACACCUGUGAAAUGGAAGGGAAAAGAAGCAGGACUGGGCAGAGAAAGAGGUUGAGCUUCAAUACGGUCCUAAUGGUGGCCUCUGUUGAUCCCAAAAGAGCUCCAGAGCCAGAAUAGCCCUUCGUGUGGUCCUUAGCUGAGUUAGGAUGGCCAGCACUUCAUAUCCCUGUGUUGAAUGAGGGCUAGUCUAGAAAAGGUGUGACCUUGGAUGAGGCACUUCUCUGCAUUUGCAGUAAUUCCUCAUAGGCUGAUAGUCAAGGGCUGUCUACUGGUAGCACUCCUAGCAUCUGGGCAUCAAGCCGUUCCUUGAAGGGAGAAUCUAGGCAACAGAGCACAGUGUUUCCACAGUAAGCUUUCCUAAGGACAGAUUUUUAUAUGGAUACAGGUGAGGAUUCAGGUCUGAAUCAGGUAAACUCAGUUAACAGAGGAGCUGGGGUUGUCAGUUGGGUCUCAGUUCACAAUGCAGUUGUGUGUAUAGUGAUACAUAGUAGCAAAUUUAUGAGAGGCCUCUGAAAUUCUGAAAUUCUUGCUGUGAUCUUUUAGAGAUUUUCUUUGUCUGGGGCGCCUGGGUGGCUGGGUCCUUUGGGUGUCUGACUUCGGCUCAGGUCAUGAUCUCAGGGUCCAUGAGUUCAAGCCCCACGUCGGGCUCUGUGCUGACAGCUCAGAGCCUGGAGCCUGUUUCAGAUUCUGUGUCUCCCUCUCUCUCUGACCCUCCCCCAUUCAUGCUCUGUCUCUCUCUGUCUCAAAAAUAAAUAAACGUUAAAAAAAAAAU